rnacentral:lncRNA from 1 species
GCCUUACUCUAAAAUGUAUUAAAUCGUUUUUUCCACUCAUCUACACACAAUACCCCAUAAUGACAAAGCAAAAACAGGUUGAGUGGUCAGAACGCUCGGAUCAACUUGUGCCUCUGAGAGCGAAAUGCUCUGAAUUUAUUAAAGGACAAUCUGACUCUGACUCUCCAAUACUCUGAAUUUACAAAUGCCCAGAGCACACUCUGAGUGUCCCUGGCACUCCAGAUUGAAUUUACGAGGUUAUGUGAGGUUUUAUGUGUUGUUGUUGGAGGUGCGUCUUGGUCAGUUUAGCUCAGAAAAUGCUGCCCUCCUCAAUGGCCCCCUAAUCGUGCCUAAUUAGCGGGCCGACCGUGGUUACUCAUCAUUUAACAUCUAAACAGCCCUUGCCCAAAAUGCCAGAUGGCCAGGCCACCCCUGGUGGGCAGGGCUAAAACAAUGGUAUCUGAGCCUGCGCGCUGGCCUCUGUUCGCCGAUAGACGAGACCACCUCGCUGCUUUUUUGCUACAGCUAGAACAAGUCGUAUAAUUUACUGAUAUUAAAUUAUAUCAGCAAUUUCAACCGUAACAACAAUAUUUUACAAUGGCUAGGUACAUGAGGCCCCCUAACCCAUCACUCUUCAUUAGAAACAUCUCCGACGAAUCCAGGCCAGAGGAACUACGCCGUGAAUUUGGUCGUUAUGGGCCUAUUGUAGAUGUCUACAUUCCACUUGACUUCUCUACACGGCGACCAAGAGGAUUUGCUUACAUUCAAUAUCCUUUAUACUCAUGUAAUGUAUUAAUGAACAUGUCUUUCAUUCGGUGCAUUAUUAUUAUUCACACGUGGGGUCAUAUUGACAAUGUCACACGUCUUGAGUUUGCCUACUGUUUUGAAGUAUCGUAUAUUUGUCAUAAAAGUAGGCUAUACUGGUUUAUGGGAGGGGAACAUUGAAUGUUGUUAAACACAGUAAAAUGUGUACAGACAUGAAUCAACAUCUCCUCUUCUAACUAAAAUUGCUUCUGUUACCCUAGAAAUGUUAGACGUACAGUUCUGGAGAAACCCCAACAAAGAAUGUAAAGACUGGUGUAGUGUAGUUUCAAGCCAAAGGGACCAUAAUGAUUUCAGGCAACAGGAAAUAGUGGGAGAAGAACACAAAGAGCAAAGUUAAAGCACGAAGAUACAAGGAGGCGAAAAGAGGGCACGAAGGCAGCCGUUUGUCUACCAAAGAAAGGAAAAUAAAAGGAUGUAUUGGGCGAAGACAAGCCGGAAAUCUCAAGUUCUUCUGCCAAGCAGUUAAAGAGCAUAAAGGUCAAGCUGAAGCUCAAAGGUCAAGCAUGUUAAAGGUAACAAGCUUAAUGUUUUCACAUUCGAGGACGUGCGAGAUGCAGAGGAUGCCCUCCACAACCUGGACCACAAGUGGGUGUGUGGUCGACAGAUCGAGAUCCAGUUUGCACAGGGUGACCGAAAAACCCCCAACCAGAUGAAGACUAAGGAGAGCUCUCCUCGCAGAGGGUCCCGCAGCAGCUCCUUCUCCCGCUAUGACGACUACGAACGCGGCGAUGGCCGACGCAGACGCUCUCGCAGUCGCAGCUAUGAAAGGCGCCGGUCACGCAGCCCUUCCUGCGACCGCCGUCCUCGGAGGUCGGAGAGCCCUAGAGACUCUCGAUCAUAUGGCAGGCACAGGCGAAGCAGAAGCCAUGAAAAUGACAGGUACAGGGGCCCUCCACGUGAACACCACAGGAUGCACCACGCACCCCCGUCUCGUAACCGCUCCGCAUCCCGCUCCCCCUCUCCUCCCAGAUCCAGGCCCAAAGACACAAAGUCUCAGUCCAAAUCCCCCAGCCCCGUCAAGGACUUCCACCCCUCUUCUGGCUCCCAGAAACAGGCCUGUCGACGCUCCUACUCCAGAUCUGUGUCCCGAUCUCGCUCCAGAUCCUAGGACCCCACCACCUUCAAACCCUGUUAUUCUGUAGCUAAAGGUGUUUUUGUUCAACACUACAACAUAUGAAUAUGGUAUCUAGGGAGUGGUUAUUACACACCCCACCUCGGUUCAUUAGUUGAGUUAACAUGAUAUCUCUGGGCUGAUGCCAUACAACAGGAGAGCUGGUUGUCCCUACAGAUGGAUAGUACUUUUUUAUGUUAGUUCAGUUUCAUUCACCUCUGAAAAACAUUGGCUGUCUUCAAUUUACAUUCAUAUCGGUUUAAUUCUAUUAAUUGAGAACCCAAUGGAUUUAAGUUCAGCACAUAAGAAUUGGUCAACUAUGAAAUGCAAAUGUACAGUUUUGGGCUAACGGGUAUUAACCUCUGGCUACAGAAGAGGUUAAGAGUCCAAAAACCCAUUUAUAAGAAAAGAGAAGUUAUAAAUCUGGAGUUAGCAGCGAUAUCUAGCCAUCAAGUUAACUGCUAUUAUUUUUGUACAUUUGAUGUUGCUAAAAUCUCCUGCAUUUAUUUUUUUUGUUGAUCAAUUGUUAUUUUUUGUGUUCAAAUCGAGCAGCAGUGUUUUCUUUUUGUGGAUUAAAAAUGUUAUGUUUUAACUUUUCUAAUCAUCCGAGUUGUACAAAGAUGUCGCUCCCUUGAAAGUAUGAGACACCGGACAGUUUGUUAGGGACACCUAUCCAUUACUGUGUUGCCCCACCCCCCCCUUCCCCUCCAGAACAGCCAGUAUUCUUCGGGCCGUUCUACAAGGUGUCAGUAGUGUUCCACAGGGAUUUUGGACCUUGCUGGUGCAAUGGCAUCUCGCAGAUUGGAGACAUCACGCAAACAUUCAUGCUGCGAACAGCCCGUUCAAUCUCAUCCCAAAGAUGCUCUAAGUAAAAUGAACUCGCUGUCAUGUUCCAGGUGCUGUUUUUCCACUCAGUUGUCCAGUGUUGGUGAUCGUGUGCCCACUGGAGGCGCUUCUUCUUCUUGUUUUUAACUUAUAGGAGUGGAACCCGGUGUGGUUGUCUGCUGUAUAGCCCAUCAGUGACAAGCAUCAACAAGUUGUGCAUUCUGAGAUUCCGUUCUCCGUCGAUUAGGUUACUCGUUUUGUCCAUCCUAACGUUCAAUUUAACAAUGUCUCGAUGCAUGCUUUAUAUAGCAAGCCACGGUUUGUAGGAGCGAUCAAUUUUUUGGGUGAGCUGGGUGGUUUACCAAAUAAAAGUAUUGUUGGAUAGGUUUAAUUCUGUCUGACUUCUUACCUGUAAAGUUUUAAAAUGUACCCUAUUGGUAAUAUUUUUUUGUGUAAUAUACACUACAUGACCAAAAGUAUGUGGCCAUCUGCUCUUCGAACAUCUCAUUCCAAAAUCAUGGUCAUUAAUAUGGAGUUGGUACCCCCCCUUUGCUGCUAUAACAGCCUCCACUCUUCAGAGAAGACUUUCCACUAGAUUUUGGAAGAUUGCUGCAGGGACUUCAAUUCAGCCAUGUGCAUUAGUGAGGUUGGGUGAUUAGGUCUGGCUCGCAUUCGGCGUUCCAAUUAAUCUCAAAGGUUUUUGAUGGGGUUGAGGCCAGGGCUCGUGCAGCCCAGUCAAAUUCUUCCACACAGAUCUCGACAAACCGUUUCUCUAUGGAUCUCGCUUUGUGCAUGGGGGCAUUGUCAUGCUGAAACAAGAAAGGGCCUUCCCCAAACUGUUGCCACAAAGUUGGAAGCACAGAAUCAUCUAGAAUGUCAUUGUAUGCUGUAGUGUUAAGAUUUCCCUUCACUGGAGUUAAGGGGGCCUAGCUGGAACCAUUAUUCCUCCUCCACCAAACCUUACAGUUGGCGCUA